rnacentral:rRNA from 1 species
CCUACGGGAGGCAGCAGUGAGGAAUAUUGGUCAAUGGACGCAAGUCUGAACCAGCCAUGCCGCGUGCAGGAAGACGGCUCUAUGAGUUGUAAACUGCUUUUGUACGAGGGUAAACGCAGAUACGCGUAUCUGUCUGCACGUAUCUUACGAAUAAGGAUCGGCUAACUCCGUGCCAGCAGCCGCGGUAAUACGGAGGAUUCAAGCGUUAUCCGGAUUUAUUGGGUUUAAAGGGUGCGUAGGCGGUCGGAUAAGUUAGAGGUGAAAUCCCGAGGCUCAACUUCGGAAUUGCCUCUGAUACUGUUCGGCUAGAGAGUAGUUGCGGUAGGCGGAAUGUAUGGUGUAGCGGUGAAAUGCUUAGAGAUCAUACAGAACACCGAUUGCGAAGGCAGCUUACCAAGCUACUUCUGACGUUGAGGCACGAAAGCGUGGGGAGCAAACAGGAUUAGAUACCCCUGUAGUC